CUUUAUUUAAUCAAGUCGAGAGAGUUUGUCCUGUAUUCAAAUCCUGAAAUUUUAAUUUUUUAAUAGCAUUUAAAGUCAGCUUUAAAAACCUAUGUGUGAUUUGAGUAAUUCAUAUUAUUCUUUGGGGUAACAACCAUAAAUAUGGCAAUUUAAAAUAAAUAAAAUCGGGGGUUGUCGACUCUACUUUAAAUUCUCUGAUAAGGAAAAUAACAGCCAUAUACUUUAAGUUUUUAUAUACGACUUUUAGUAUUUUAGUAUCUAGGUUCUAUUCUAGUUUCUUAGUAUUUUGUUUAGUCUUAAUACCAAAGUUAAAUGGGUAAUAUUGAACUAUAGGAUUUAUACUUUAGAUUGACACUAAAAAUCUUUCAAUAAGUGACAAAGUA
rnacentral:rRNA from 1 species